AUAUUGCACUGCAACCAUCAUAAAUAUGAACCAGUUGCCAAGGAUCUGAAUUUUGUCCACAUGACCAGGGGGAUGCUAGAAGAAAUAGCAGUAAUACUUAAAAGGAAUGAAUUCCUUUCUGUGAAGUUCGUAAUUUGGAAUCAAAUUAAGGAUCUUGUUUGUAGGAGUGAACCAGAUUUCGAAGGGGAAAAGGAGAUUCAGCACACACAGCUUUGGUGGCACAGUGGUUAGAAUGCAGUAUUUCAGGUUAAUUCUGCUGACUGCCAGAUGUUUGAUUCUCACUGGCUAAAGGUUGACUCGGCCUUCCAAGGUGUUAAUCCUCAAUGGUUAUCCCAAACGGAAGCUUUCUGAAUUGGCAGCAAUUCCCGGGAUUCUCAAGGUCUCACAAAUUGGUUCAUGAAAGAAAGUUCUGAAGUCACUUUAAGGUAAAGAAUCAUAACCAAGCAUAAAAGGGUAUUACAAAAGUAUGAAGAAAAAACAAUUGCUACCAACCUGCCUUCCAUUGAGGACCUGUAUACUGCACGAGUCAAAAAAAAGGGCUGUGAAAAUAUUUACAGACCGUUCACAUCCUGGACAUAAACUGUUUCAACUUUUACCCUCAAAACGACACUAUAGAGCACUGCACACAGAACAACUAGACACAAGAACAGUUUUAUCCCAAACGCCAUCACUCUGCUAAACAAAUAAUUCCCUCAACACUGUCAAACUAUUUACUAAGUCUGCACUACUAUGAAUCUUCUCAUUGUACCCUUCACCCAUCUCCUUCCACUUAUGACUGUAACUUUAUUGCUUGUAUCCUUACGAUUUAUAUUGAUAUUGUUUCCCGAUUGCUUAUUUGUACCCUAUUAGUAUCAUAAAGUAUUGUACCUUAGAAUUCUUGAUGAACGUAUCUUUUCUCUUAUGUAUACUGAGAUCAUAUGCACCAAAACAAAUUCUA